AGCAGCCGCGGUAAUUCCAGCUCCAAUAGCGUAUAUUAAAGUUGUUGCAGUUAAAAAGCUCGUAGUUGAAUUUCGGGGUUAGUAGGUUGGUCAUGCCUCUGGUAUGUACUGGUCUCACUGAUUCCUCCUUCCUGAUGAGCCGUAAUGCCAUUAAUUUGGUGUUGCGGGGAAUUUGGACUGUUACCUUGAAAAAAUUGAGUGUUUAAAGCAAGCUAACGCUUGAAUACAUUAGCAUGGAAUAAUGAAAUAGGACGUUCGAUCCUAUUUUGUUGGUUUCUAGGAUUGACGUAAUGAUUAAUAGGGAUAGUUGGGGGCAUUAGUAUUCAAUUGUCAGAGGUGAAAUUCUUGGAUUUAUUGAAGACUAACUACUGCGAAAGCAUUUGCCAAGGAUGUUUUCAUUAAUCAAGAACGAAAGUUAGGGGAUCGAAGACGAUCAGAUACCGUCGUAGUCUUAACCAUAAACUAUAGCCGACUAGGGNUCGGGAUGAUGUUUAAUUUUUUAAUGUACUCUAUUCGGCGC
rnacentral:rRNA from 1 species